CGCUCCUUCACCUCCCUUGCCUUGUAGAUGCACUGCCCCAGGCUGUCAUCCUCACAUGGUGUUUUCCUGUGUGUGUGUGUGUGUGUGUGUGUGUGUGUGUGUGUCUGUCUGUGUCCACCUUUCCUCUUUAUGAGGACACCAGUCAUCGGAUUCAGGCCUGCCUUAGUCCACUAUGACCUCAUCCUGACUCGAUCAUCUUCAGAGACCCAAUUCCAAGUAAGGUCACAAUCACAGGUCUUGGGGGUCAGGAUUCCCAGCAUCCUUCUUGGGGACACAGUGCAGCCUAUAAUAGUAUGGUCCACAGGUGGGCGGUCCCGCCCUGGCGAGGCCAGUCAGAGGAGACAGACAAGAACAAAAGGUGAGGGGUUGCCCAGCUGGGGUCCAGAAGCCCCUGUUGCUGAAGCUCCCCUCCCCAAAACAGGGCUUCCGCACUCUGGUUGGACUUUGAUUCUUUGAGCUAAUCUGGAAGGCAGGAAUAGCCCCAGAGAAUGCUCUUGCUGAGAAACAAUUUUGAGCAGGUAAAUCUGUAUGCAUGUUGUAUCUAUAGGCACAUGAUCUGUUUCCCUCCCAGAAUGCCUCAGUGAUGAUAUUUGCCAACAUUAAAGAGUCAGAGGGACCCAGAUUACCAGGUGCCAGAGGUGGGGCCGCACCGAUGGGCAGCACGUGGGCAGGGAAGGUUAUUCCGAGUUGAGCUCAGGGUGUGCAGGUGUCACUUGGGGGCAGUCCUUCACCUUCCUUGCCUGGUGGAUGUGUUGCCCCAAUCUCUGUCAUCCUCACGUGGUGUUUUCUUGUUGACUCUUCCCGGUAAUAGUGACUGGUGGACUGUGGAGCAGAGGCCCCGCCCCACGGCGUGUAGAAAGAAAACUCGGGAUGUAAGCACUUCAAGGGCAGGGACCAGUGGUGACCAAGGGAACCUGCCUUCAGAAAGGGUUUCAGAGACGUGAGAAUAGGGCAGCCUUGCUAGGAUCAAGGGGCAUUAACAGCACCAUGAGGAUUUUUCCAGACUGUUCUCCCAGGACAGCAAAGUACUUCCCAGGACAGGAUCACCUUGGAAAUCGACAUUCCCCAAGGUGUGAACUGGAAUAAAAAUAAGAUCCUGGAUGAAAUUGGAAACCACAGAAGCAGAUGUUGGCAAAGGCCACUCAGCUCAUUCUGGAAGAGAUUCACUUUAGCUGAAGAUUAAGUAUGAAUGCGCAGGAGAUGGAUGAAACAAUGGAUGCCAGACACCUGCUCUGCGGAAAUCACCAGUAACAAGGACACCAAAAGAUGCAAAGCUUCCUCGCCCCCAGCCUCACGGGGCUCAAGGUCUGGUGGGGUUUACAAGCCACUGUCCUACAUGAGAGGAUGGGAACCUUGACAGGACAUAAAUUCUUUUAAAUCUUUUAUUUUCUUUUAACGUUUAUUCAUUUUUGGGAGACCGAGACAGAGCAUAAGCAUGGGAGGGGCAGAGAGGGAGAGGGAGACACAGAGUCUGAAGCAGGCUCUAGGCUCUGAGCUGUCAGCACAGAGCCCGACGCGGGGCUUGAACUCAUGCGCUGCCUGAUCAUGACCUGAGCUGAAGUUGGACACUUAACCGACUGAGCCAUCCAGACACCCAGGAUAUAAGUUCUUAAAAACAAAAGCAAUAGACAAGAAAAGACUAAUUAGGUAAUGUUACAUCUCUCUGGGGAGAGAGGAUCUCUGGAGAUUUUGUUUUCUGGUUCCACCUGACACCCAAGAUCCUGAAAAAAUAAUCCUUUUGGUCCACAAAGGGGAAAGGGCAAAAACUUACCACACUCAGUUGCUUGAGAAGUUUUCAGGGGCAGGAGGAAUGGGGCACAUUUAGAGUGUAACCUGUUUCUCUAUUCUGCACAACUGAUUGGUUGUCAGUGCAGAAUGGAUAUUAAAUAAUCAUUUAAUGUUUUUAUUCAUGACAGGAGCAAUCAGCACGUAAUGAAACAUGCAGGUGAUACUAGAUGGGGAGUUACUACAAAUUAGGAGAAGCAGACAAUGCCGAGGGCGGAAAAGAAGGACAGUUACAACAAAGCGAACUUCUGCUUUGCAAAACGCAAGCAAAAUACACCUGUAAAAAAAAUGCACACUGGACAGGCAGAGGGCGAGGCAGACACGGCCUUCAAGGGACAGUAGCUCCCUGCCCACUGGCCCUCCUCAGCACACUCCACCUAAGGGUCGUGUGCCUCAUAGAUCUUUUCUGGGUCAUUCUAGUGAAUUCUGCAGCCCUGUCCCAUUUCCACCCCCAGCCUUCGGUAUUCUCUCAGCAGCAUUUUCUGUCACAGCCUUCAACCUUUCCUUCCUGUUAGGGAGUUGCCUUUGCGUAUUUUGUUAUAAUUCAGAUGGCAUGGCUUUCCCACCUGGCUUGGUCCCCUCUUCCCUUGCUUCAGUGUCUACUUUGCUGGAGUCACUGGUGGCUUGGUCAUCUGCAGAUCUCCGGUGUCUGCAUCCACUGCGUUGAGAACCAUAAUCCCCGUGUACACCAGAAGCUCCCCGACCGUUUGCCUGGUGCGGCAUGUGGGCGAGCUCCCUUCGGAGCUCUUCUCUGGAGCUUCAUGUGCUGAGAUGCCUCACGUUCCCUGCCCAGGACUGCACGGUCUGACCCCUGAGAGCUCUCACCAGUCUGGAUUAUCAAAGAAAUGGCUCAUUCGUCAGCUGGAGGUGAGAAGGGAGACUUCGAGAAGUACGUUACAGCCUUAACUGUGGCCAGGUCGAGGGUUAAAGCCAUCAAGCUUUGUCUUUGUGUCACACGGAGCUCUCUAUAUCCCUUAUUGGAGACGGUGACACAAUGGCUUGUGUUAAAUCUAUCUGCAGUACGUUCGAAGCUGGCAGCCAGCCCGUUUUCUCUUGACCUGUCUAGCCCCACUUCCAGCACAGCACCUGAUGCACACUGAAGAUCUAAUAUUUGCGGAGUGAGUGCUCCGUGGUUCAUUCCAGAAGCAAGAUUUAGGGACAGCUUAGUGGGGAAGGGCUUUCUGAUCUGGAGGAACAGGAGUUGGGUGGCCCUCUGGCAAGUGUUAUAGAGGCCCCAGGGCGUCAGGGAAUCACAAGAGCUAGAUCUCAUUCUCCGUUCAUUAGCUGAAUGAACUUGGACAAGCGUUUUCUCUGAUCGCCAAGUUUAUUUGCCAAAUAGUGAAGAUAACCUCCAUUCUGUGGACUCUGUUGAUGGCGUGACCAUAAUGGAUGGGGAAGUUACCAUUUGCUUUUUGUGUGUAAUUACUAUAGAGUGGCUCCAUUCUUCCUAUGGAGAUUGGAGUGACCUUACUAACAGUCUUAGAAUUAUCAAGUUCUAGUUGCCCUCCAUCAACCUGAAUAUAUUGUGAUUUUUUUCAAGUUUCUUUAUUUUUGAGAGAGAGAGAGAGAGAGAGAGAGAGAGAGGGAAGGGCAGAGAAAGAGGGGGAGAGAAAGAAUCCCAAGCAGGCUCCACGCUGUCAGCGCAAAGCCCGAUGUGGGGCUCGAUCCCACGAACCAUGAGGUCAUGACCUGAGCCACAAUCAAGGGUUGGACGCUUAACCGACUGAGCCACCCAGGCUCUCCUGGAUAUAUUUUACAUAGUCCUUUGAACUCCAGGAUAAUCCCAGGGGGUGCGUAGGUAAGAACUGAAAAGAAUCACGGUACAUUUUCCCUUAGACAUUUUCCCGGAAGAGCAAACGUAAGCCGAUACUUGUCAGUGGACACAUGUGACUUAAUCCCCACAACACUGAAGAGACGAAAAUAACAGUCGUCUUUUUAAUGUAGGUAUCAACGGUGUGCCAGGCACCGUGCUAGAUAUUUAAGGUGCAAAGAUGAAUCAGCGUGAUAGGUGAGGUGGCCACCACAUGAAGACUCGAAGAGCCAACUGGACUAGGGAUUGGGUCACAAAUGGAGGAAAGAGAAGAAAAUUAAGAAUCAAGACAAGGGUGCUCCCGGCAGAGGAUAACACAACAGCACAAGCUAUGGAGGCCAGAUGUAAAACAAGAGGGUGUGUAUAGGGAAAGUACGAAGACAAAGCUGUUAUCAGACUUAUUAUUUUUAGCUUUGUAUUAUGGAAAACUUCAAGCAUAUACAAAAUGAUAUGGAACAAUAUGAGGAACCCGUAUGAAUUCAACAUCUAUGUUCAACUAUCAUCAGAUCAUGGCCAGAAACUCUGGUUUUCUCCAUAUCUUACUGCCUUUCUUCAGCCUUUAUAUUUUGAAGUAAAUAUCAGAUAUCUUAUCAAUGUUUAAACACUUCUCCAGGUAUUCUUUUUUUUUUUCUUAAAAAAUUUUUUUUCUUUUAUUUUAUAGAGAGCAAGCAGGGAGAGGGGCAAAGAGAGAGAGAAAGAAUCUCAAGCUGGUUUCACGCUUGGUGCAGAGUGCUACAUGGGGUUCGAUCCCAUGACCCUGGGAUCUGAGCAGAAGUCAAGAGUCAGGUGCCCAACUGACUGAGCCACCCAGGUGCCCCUGCGUGUGUCUAAAGGAUAAGGACUAUUAAUUAUAAGUCUGCUACUAUUAUCGUAUCUAAAAAAUCAGCUAUUAUUACUUGAUAUCACAAAUCUCUAAUCGGUGUUUAAGUUUCCCCUAUUAUUCCACAGAUUUUGCAUUAGUUGGUUUUAAUCAGAAUCUCAGAAAGGUCCAAACAUUGUGGUUGGGUAUAUCUACAUGUGUUUGACUCUGCAGCUUUCUCUUCCCUCAGAUUUUUUUCCUUACGAUAUUUUUUUGUGAAAGAGGGAGCCGUGUUUCCUACAGAGGGCUCCCACAUCCUGUAUUUCUUGGACGGCAUCUCUGUGGUGCUGUAUGCAUGCUCCCUUCUCUACGCCCCCUGGACAUGCCUGUUGUGUCUAGAUGUGCCUUUAUGAAGAACUUAAAGGAGGGGGGUGGUGCUGGGUGGCUCAGUAGGUUGAGCAUCCGACUUCAGAUCAUGAUCUCACGGUUCGUGAGUUCGAGCCCCGCGUCCGGCUGUCUGCCGUCAGCACAGAACCCACUUCAGAUCCUCUUUCCCUGCCCCCCACCUCUGCCCCUUCCCCACUUGCACACAUGCACACACACUCUCUCUCAAAAAUAAAUAAAUAUUAAAAAAAAAAAAAGAACCUGAGUGGGUGGAGGAGACCCAAUGAGGCUUGGUGAGAGUUGCCAUGGAUGAACUAGGACACUGUUGUACUAUUAACCUAAGGUUUUAGUUUUCAGUGUUUCUUGCUCUCUGGUCCUCUGUGUUUGCCACCACCGCCAGCCCAGCGCUGUUGGAGUCGGGCAACAGUGUGGUGUCUAUACUGAGGUUUCUGGGUAGAGUGACUGCACCAAAGACACGGGAAAACAAAACUUCUGGUAGAAAUGCAGGGUGGUUCUUGUAGACAGAGGCCUGGGGGCCAAGUGGAGGCAGAUACCUCAGUCGGUGUUGGUGCCAGUAACCAGGGGUCAGGAGUCAAACGGAAAUCUCCAUCAAUUCUCAGGAGAUGCUGACUACUGAGAACCCCAAGCUUUCCCACCCGGUGCUUUGUUACCCUGGAACUUAGCCCAAGUCAAAGUCGGCAGGGGUGAGGGAGAAACCCUAAGCCAGUCACAGGGGUCGUGGGUGGGGGGGUUGCAGAGAAGCUCCCUGAGUGGAUUGCUUAAUAGGAAUUGUUUAAAAGUUCAUUUUCUUGAGCGAAAAGGGUGCUGGAGGCAGAAAAAAAAAAAAUGCAGUGCUACUUUGUGGCUCUCCGAAUCUGCUGAAAGCCUGGUGUCACGAUUGCAGACGCGGUGUUCAGGACCUGAAAUUGUUGGCAGGGGAAAGGGGCGCUUAAAUGCUGAUUUUGGACACAGCAGUGUUUCGAAGUAUUGCCCAUCCUAGCGGCAGCCCGUCAGGAUAAGGUUCACAACAAGGGCUUUCUAGACCGAAUCCAUGGAGCCCCACCGGCCAUGCUUCCUCGUCUCCCACACACUUGCCUUUGUGCUUCUCUCGCACGGUUUUCUCUUCUGUCUUUUGUCCUUUUUGGUACUUUCUUCAGAACUUUGGAAGGUCUGAGAUCUGAUUCUAAUGUUUUGCUUUUUUUUAACUGUGAGGUUUCUGGCUGGAUUUUGCUGGCACUCUGCUUUCUCAGAGAGACAUCAGUAGCCAGGAGGACAUUGACAAAGACAACAGGGCUCAGGUCCAAGUGCACGAAUGUCCAGGCAACCGCCAGCCCAUUCUCGAAGUUCGCGGCAGCCUGCAGGGCUGGUGCUUCUUUUGUUCCCAUCAGAUUCCAAAGGAGUCAGCCAGCCUCAUAGCCCAGUGCCCUCCGAGUCAUCCUCUCUCGCCCAAACUGCAGCCAGAAUUCACCAACGAUGAGAUGGAGGGAAAGGCCACUGUGUUUUUCUGGGUCUCCAAAUUCCUGUUCCAGAUUUAGCUCCAAUUUUUCCAGCUCAUGCUCCCUAACCAUCACCACCCAGGCCUUCACUGUCCCAGACCACAGCAGAGAUGCAUGGAAUCUCCCGCCCUGUCUUCUCACCUGCAAAUUCUCAUCUCCUCCUAGAGACCCGCUCACGUCCCAUCCUCUGUGAAGACUUACCUGCAGAUCUGGCCACCACCCUGUCUCACCUUCUGAGACCAGCGUCCGCAGCCCCUCCUUCCUCUUGCAGCCCUCUACCAUUCGGUCUAGUCACCAGGUUGACACUUGAGAUCAAUUGCAGUGACACAUUUAUGAGUCUGUAUUCCUUUGUGGAAUGCACUUUCCUUGAGAGAACAUAGGGCCUGAGUCUACACUUUAUUUUUCCUAGUGUCUAGGGGUUGGGUACCAAAUGAUUUCUAGAAGGGCGAAUGGACACCACAGAAUCAAAAGGCAAAUAAAACAAUAUUUCGAUGACCUGGGCUCUGCUAAUACAGUGGCCCCAGUAGCCCUACUCUGUUCACCCCCAACAACAUGAAAGUGGGUCACAGACAUAAAUAGGCUGCUGGCACUCAGACCGGAGCUUCAUCAUCAGGUCCAAAUUCAUUCCCAGUGUCCAGGCAAAAGCAUAACGUAGCCCACACUGAGCUUGCUUAUGUAAAUAUUUUUCCGCAUGGUUUUGUGGGUCUGACUUGGGGUCUGACUUCCAAUGUCAGCAUAGAACCCUGUUGGGAGUAUAACGUUUCCACCAGGCUUCAGUUGAAUAUUUAUGAAUAUUCUGUAGUCACUGCCUUCUAUUGUUCCUGGAAGACUUGUAUUAUUUAGAGAGUGAUUAAUCAUAUUCCGAGGGAACAUGCUGGAGCUAAGCCCCGUGGUGAGGUUUCUGAUGGCUUUUUCUUCCCGGAUGGGCAAAAGACUAACAUCAACCAAAGCUCUCCCGGAGAACUGCUUGUCUCCUGUACCCAUCUGCGCACAUUUCCAUGGGUCAGGGCAGAAUUCCAUCCCCAGGCAGCCAGUUCAGGGAGGGCACAGCUCAGGAAUCAGUCUCCUGCUGUUCAAUUUUGCUGAAUAUUAGCACACCCAUUCUUUGGCAUUCACGAUUUAGGCCAAAUGCUGAGGCCUAGAAUGACAUCUCACGCUUGCUUGUGGUCAGGAUAUCGCAGCUCUUCAAAUUACCCAACACGAGAAUGAGAAACAGUUCUAGAGUCUCGGAAGUUAAUAUGCAGGAAUGCUCACUCUGUGCUGUAGACCUAUUACUCGACAGGCUUUACCUAUCAAGUAUCAUAUGUAGUAUAAGUCAUCUAUUUUGUAUGGUAGGCAUUUUCCCCCAGUUUACUCCAGAUAAAAGAGGCAGGGGCGUAUCAGUGUGCUACUGAUAAUUAAUCAUCCCCACCCAAAUUGAGCGGCUGAAAACCAUGAACAUUUACAUUUACUACUACCCAUGCAUCGAGUGGUGGCGUGGACACUUCUUCCAGCCUCCGCAGAGCUCACCCAGGCCCCUGGGAUUAGCUCCGGGUCAGCUGGGUACGUGGUUCUCCGGGUCGAGGCUGGGGCCUGUCCUGUGUCCCUUACCUCAGCUGGGGCAGUUGGAUGGACUCGGCUGUGCCUUGUGUGGCCUCUUAUUUCCUGCUGUUGUCCUCAGCCUGGCCUGGGCAGAGGUCAGAGAAAGAGCAGAUACAGGCACCCACGCUGGUAGUCUAGGCUCGAACCUAUUUCAUUUUGACUUUGACUUGGAUUUUGACACGGACAGAGGGAGGACAUGCGGGUGCCAGUCACUGCUGUGUUCUUAGCAAUGAUUCGGAACACUCGAGAAAAGAGGGAUAGAAAGGAGGCCUUCCGUCUCAAGGAAAGGUCACAAGGCAUAGCAUCCACAGUGGGAAGGACAUCAUUGUCCCAAGUUAAAAUAGAUGGCAGGCAUCUCUGGAGGGGAGUGAGGUAAAUGAGGUUUGCUCACCAUUCGUUCCAGGGCACACAGUGUUGAGUGAUACGGGCCAGAGGAGACGGUAGAGACACGUAUGCAGCUUCUCUCUCCGUAUCUCUGCUCACUGAGAAGUGAAUUCUCUCCUCGGGUCAGAGACUGAUUGCAGUACAGACCGAUCACUGGCUUCACUGCUUCUUCACCAGCUCAGAUAUGCAACUUCUGCCCCUGCAACAUAGUGGGGGUGGUCAUGCUACAGAUGGAACAGUGUCCAGUAAGUGCCUGUGCAGCCCCUCUCCUUUCUUGAGACCCUUCUUUAGGAGGAACAAAAAUACAACAAAACAACAACAGCAACUCGGCUGGAAAUAUUUGUGGUCUGAGCCCUGAGUAGAGACGGAAGAGCUCAAGUUUGACGUUUAUCCUCAGGUUAAGUUGUAGGCAGGUCGGGGGCACAAUCGGCUUUGCAGUUUAGUCCCGGGUGAAUGCCGACACUAGAUUUGGGAACACAAACCUGGCUGUGGCGGGAGUUCAGCGGCGAGAUGAUGAAGGUCCUGACCAAGGCCAGUUGGGUUGGAGAAUAGAGGUUGUAUUUAGUGAUGUUCGUAAGGAACAUCACUUGGCAGUUCCUUGGGUGCAGAGUUGUGGAGAUGACAGGGAGAAGUCAGCAGCUCCCUGUUUUUGGCUUGAGACUCUGAAUGAAUGUGCAGAGUGCCCUGGGGUAGUGACUAUGGGGGAGAAACAGGAUGGAGAUGGGAGGGAAAUUGUUGGUUUAGCUAUGGACAGGCUGAGCACCCAGUGGGUGUGUUCGAAGGACAGGUGGAUAUAUGAGAAUAACCCUUAGGUAAGUAUUCAGGGUGGGAUAUUAAUUUUGGAGCAUUGUUAUACAAGUGGACGGUAAGGAUAUGGGAGCCAAAGAGGGAUGAGAGAGAGAGUUGCCAAAGGAGAAGAGGCCCAAGGCAGGGAAUUAACUUUAAAGCAUGGGCAGAAGAAGAGCUACCUGUAGAAGGGAGGCUCAGGAGAAGUUGUCUGCAAGGUAGAGGGAGAAAAUAGGAGUGGAGAAUAAACCAUUUCCAAAAGGAAGGAAUGGUCUAGUGUCUCAUGCUGCAUAAAAUUCAGGUUAGCUCUUUCUGAAAGUAUCUGUUAUUUAGAGCCAUAAGGAGAGCGUUGGUGAUCCCAAAGAAAAGAUUGUAUGAGAGCAGAGUCACGGACGCCAGCUUGUGGUAAAUAUAAACAGCUAUUGCGUUUAACAUGCUUGUUACACGUCCGUGACUUUGCUUGGCCGUAACAACAAUAAUGGUAGAGAAACUAACAUUCCCUGGGGGUUUAACCUGUUCCCAACAUGGCGCUUAGUGUUUUAGAAGGCGCCUUUUCUUCUUUAAAACUCUCAACAACACUGUGACUUUGGUGGUCUCAUUUCUACCUUGUAAUUGAGCACAGGAGACUUAGAAAUGAAGUAUUCGGUCCAAAGGCACUCACCUAAUCAUGGGGGAACAGAAUUGGUUCCCAGGGGCAGCCCUCUUAGAAAACAGUGCCCCCUGUUCGUGGUGUAUUAGUUCAGGCUCUUUGGGCUACAGGGAUCACAUCAAGCUAUUUUAAGCACGCAAGAAGAAGGCAGAUGGAUUCAUGACAAGGAUACAGGCAGGUGUACAGGAAAUCUAUUGGGAUGGAAAAAAGCUGUGGUCUUUGUAGUGAACUCAGUCUUCUCUCCAUCUUCUUGCAUUGACCUCUCCUCCUUCCUGAAGGCUAACUUUAUCGGUUCCCCACACAUCAAUUUCCUGGCAACAACUGCUUACAUUCACUCUUCAAAGAGGACUUAAGUUGAUGUGGGCAUCCCUCAGUUCCAAAUGCCAAUUCCUGGGGAAGAACUCUAGUUGGAAGGAGUUGAUCAAGUGCCUUCCUCAGGCUGAAUCGACUGAAGCCGGGGUCCUGGACAGUCAUCGAAUGGCUACUCUCGUUUGACCACUGAGAACCAACAGGGCCAGGAGAGCAGGUCCCUCAAUAGCAGGAUGGGUGUGGGGAGUCGGGGAUAAAUCAGUAGUGUCCAUAUGUCUAAUUUCUGUGCCAUCCCUGAGAGCUCGAUCGUUUACCCCACAUUUUAUUUUAUUUUUUAAGUAAACUCCAUAUCUCUACAUCCAGUGUGGGGCUCAAACUCACGACCCAGAGAUUAAGAGUCUUAUGCUCUACUGACUGAAUCACCCAGGUGCUCUUACCCCACAUUUUAAACCUAAGGACCAACAGGUAAGUGAAAAAAUGCUCAACGUCGCUAAUCAUCAGGAAAAUACAAAUCAAAACUGCAAGGAGAUAUCACCUUAUGCCUGUCGGGAUGGCUGUUAUCAAAACAAACAAACAAAGAAAAACAAGACAACAAGCAUUAACAAGACCAUGGAGAAGACAGAACCCUCAAGCCCUGUUGGUGGGAACGUAAAACGGAGCAGCCACUGUGGAAAAUAGGAGGGAGGUUCCUCAAAGAAUGAAAACUAGAACUACCAUAAGAUCCAGCAAACCCCCUUCCGGAAGUUUAUCCCAGAGUUGAGAUUGGGAUCUCCAUGAGAAAUGAACACUUCGGUGUUCAUGGCAGAGUUCUUCACAAUACUCAGGAUAUGGAUACAACCCAAGUGUGCAACUGCAGGGGAAUGGAGAACAGAUAAAUACAUACAAUGGUCUAAACACACUAAUCAGCCUUAAAAAUGGCAGUCCUGCCACCUGUGACAACAUGGAUGGACCUUGAGGACAUUACGCUUGUUGAAAUAAGCCAGCCACAGAAAAUGAACACUGUCUGAUUCCACUCGUACGAGGUAUCUGUCGUAGUCAAAUUCACAGCAUGGAAGGGUGGAGUAGUGAUUGCUGGGGCCUAAGGGGAAGGAGGAAGGGGGUUUACUAACUAACAGGCAUCAAAUUUCAGUCAGGCAGGAUGAACAAGCUCGAGAGACCUAUUGGACGACAGCACAUGAAGGGUCCAGAAAAACGUAACGCACAUGCAGAAAUUUGUUAAGCGAGUAGAUGUCCUGUUAAGCGUUCUUACCAUAAUUUUUACAGAAAGACAAGGAAACUAAAACAGGAAAGGUAAAUAAUUUAGGUGAUGCCAAAGAGAAAUUUAGUCAUGAAAAUGAUGGUGCGUUCUGAUGACAGGCUUCAGACACUAUGAGGGAAAGGAGGCCUGGAGGGUGGUGUUACCAUCAGAAACAACAAACAAGGAUAAGAAAUGAGAGAGAUCGUGAUGAUUCCGAGUGUUGACAUGUUAGUCAAGGUUGAGGCCAUCAAGACUGGAGAGAGGGCAUUCCAAAAUGGCAGCCUGGGCUGGAGGUUGCCAGGCAGACAAGAAAAGCCAGACUCAGAGUGCCCGCAGGCACCACAGGGAUAGAGGUGUAGUGAGUGUCCCGGCCGCCAGCUGUGAGGGACUAGAGGAAGGGACAAUGAGAAGGUAUAGCCAGCUCCCGGAGGGCAGCAUCAUGGAGUGGUGACAUCACAGCAGCCUCCCGCUGAUGAAACUUAAGGUGGGCGUGGAGACUUUGGGACCCCAGGGGCUGGCAGAGGCCUGUCACCAAUAGGGACACUGAAGUCACUACGGAUGGGAAAGUGGAGGUUAACCAGCAUUUCCCACGCUGCAGCCCCUGGGCCCGUGCUCUGCACACGCCAGCACCUCAUCCCGACAGCGACCCUGGGAGGUCUCGGAGGGAUGAGGGCAGGGGAUUCGUGUUCAGGUGGAUGAGAAAUCAGACCCCCGCUUGUCCCCAGGAAACUUCUGCAGAAAGUGAUCGAUCCACACAGUGGUGAAGACACAGUUCUCGCUGGUCUGAUAGAAGUUUCUUACCAUCCUGGAGAUGAACUCCCUGAAAUAUUUUAGAAUUUGUGCCUUGAGUGACAGAAACAGCUUCGUUCUCAACAGUUCUGGGUCUUCUCCUGAA